GGGCACUGCACGCGUGUCCUAGGUCAGAAAAGGGGGCCUAGUCCCUAUGUUUUUACGAUGUGAAUGCCCGUGAAACCGGACAGUACCUAUAGAACGCACACGAGCAGAGCCAAAAUUAAGUCAAAAUCAGCGGCGGACCGAACGACCAGGUACGUGCCUUCGACAACCUAGCAACUUGGAAGAAGAAGAAGAAGAAGAAGAAGAAGAAGAAGAAGAAGAAGAAGAAGAAGAAGAAGAAGAACCAACACCGUCCCCUCUCCUCUCGUCUCUCUCCGUCCGCGCGCUACAGUUACGGCACCCGCUACUGGCACAGGCAGCACCUGUACCACACCCUCCAGGACCACCACACCCACAGCAGGACGGAGCGGCCGCGGUGGCGGCAGCGCGCGCGGAAGGCCUGUCCCCUGGAGCAGCCUAGGAAGGCCGGGCCGUAGACUGCGAGGAGCGACAGAGGGAAGGACGUCUAGGUAGCGAGGGAGGGCAGCGACGCCACGACGAAGGCAGCCGCUAGUUCGCGCAUCGAGAGCUAGGCAGUCCAGCGACGUUGUCGUAGUAACAAAAACAAAUCAUAUCAAAACACACACAGAUAAUAUAGUGCGCCACCGUCACAUUGUAACCUUCUGUAAGAAGAAGAAGAAGAAGAUAAAGAUAAGAAAGUAACUACAUGUAUGUAUUGUUAAUUAUUAUGACCACCACUACAACCUUUAAUC
rnacentral:rRNA from 1 species